rnacentral:tRNA from 1 species
AGUCUGAAGUUUUGGAAACACUAGAUUUUGAACAUCUAUAAAAACGUUCAACUCGUUAUCAGACU